rnacentral:rRNA from 1 species
AUUGAACGCUGGCGGCAGGCCUAACACAUGCAAGUCGAGCGAGCGGCGGACGGGUGAGUAAUGUCUGGGAAACUGCCUGAUGGAGUGGGGUAACUACUGGAAACGGUAGCUAAUACCGCAUACCAUCAGAUGUGCCCAGAUGGGAUUAGCUGGUAGGUGGGGUAACGGCUCACCUAGGCGACGAUCCCUAGCUGGUCAGAGAGGAUGACCAGCCACACUGGAACUGAGACACGGUCCAGACCCCUACGGGAGGCAGCAGUGGGGAAGAUUGCACAAGGGGCGCAAGCCUGAUGCAGCCAUGCCGCGUGUGUGAAGAAGGCCUUCGGGUUUUAAAGCACUUUCAGCGGGGAGGCGUUACCCGCAGAAGAAGCACCGGCUAACUCCGUGCCAGCAGCCGCGGUAAUUC